AAGAAGAAGAAAACGCCGCUGAGCUCAAAAUUGGCGAUGAGUUUUUGAAGGCCAAAUGUCUAAUGAACUGUGAAGUCGCAUUGAUUCUUGAACACAAGUAUGAGCAGAUCCAGCAGAUGUCUGAUGAUCCAACAAAUCAGAUUUCGCAGGUAUUUGAAAAGUCGCUGCAAUAUGUGAAGCGUUUCAGUCGGUACAAGAACCCUGAUGCUGUUAGACAAGCUCGAGAAAUUCUUAGUAGGUAUCCACUUGCUGAAUUCGAGCUCUGUGUUCUUGGGAAUCUUUGCCCCGAAACUGUUGAGGAAGGUAUUGCCAUGGUCCCAUCCAUCAAGAAUAGAGGACGUGCACUUGACGAGGAAGCAAUUGAGAAAAUGCUAACUGACCUUUCCCUAAUAAAGAAAUUCGAGUAGUCCUAUUAUAGUGCUUGUCUUGCUAUGCUGCAGCAGUCUCUGCUUCCGAACCUGUACCUCCAUAUGUUUAUUAGUAGCAGCUCUGUAAUGCAAAUUGGGCUCUGGCAUUAUGUUGAAAACUUUAUCUGUUGAUUGAAGAAGAAAACUCUCUCUGGACCCUUUUUUUUUCUUUUUGGUAGCUGGUUGUAACCACAAUCCUUUGGUGCACGGGCCUAAAUCAUUGUAAUGACAUACAUGGUUUGUCGUUUCGCUUUUGUGAAAGACAAAUAAGAGCAUACCUUGAUCGGAA
rnacentral:misc_RNA from 1 species